UGGGGAAUCUUAGACAAUGGGCGCAAGCCUGAUCUAGCCAUGCCGCGUGAGCGAUGAAGGCCUUAGGGUUGUAAAGCUCUUUCAGAUGGGAAGAUAAUGACUGUACCAUCAGAAGAAGCCCCGGCUAACUCCGUGCCAGCAGCCGCGGUAAUACGGAGGGGGCUAGCGUUGUUCGGAAUUACUGGGCGUAAAGCGCACGUAGGCGGACUGGAAAGUCAGAGGUGAAAUCCCAGGGCUCAACCUUGGAACUGCCUUUGAAACUCCCAGUCUUGAGGUCGAGAGAGGUGAGUGGAAUUCCGAGUGUAGAGGUGAACAUGGUAGAUAUGCGGAGGAACACCAGUGGAGAAGGCGGCUCACUAGCUCGAGACUGACGCUGAGGUGCGAAAGCGUGGAGAGCGAACA
rnacentral:rRNA from 1 species